rnacentral:rRNA from 1 species
UACGUAGGGUGCAAGCGUUGUCCGGAAUUAUUGGGCGUAAAGAGCGUGUAGGCGGCCCGAUUAGUCCGCUGUGAAAGUCCAGGGCUCAACCCUGGAAUGCCGGUGGAUACUGUCGGGCUAGAAUCCGGAAGAGGCGAGUGGAAUUCCUGGUGUAGCGGUGGAAUGCGCAGAUAUCAGGAGGAACACCAAUAGCGAAGGCAGCUCGCUGGGACGGUAUUGACGCUAAGGCGCGAAAGCGUGGGGAGCAAACAGG